rnacentral:sRNA from 1 species
GUCAGGUGCGGUGGUGCACACCUGUAAUCCCAGCAUCUUGGGAGGCUGAGGCAGGAGGAUCACAAAUUCAAAGCCAGACUCAGCAAUGCAGGAGACCCUGUCUCAA